rnacentral:rRNA from 1 species
UACGAAGGUGGCAAGCGUUACUCGGAAUUACUAGGCGUAAAGGGCAGGUAGGUGGUUUGAUAAGUCUGUUGUGAAAGCUCCUGGCUUAACUGGGAGAGGUCAACAGAAACUAUCAGGCUUGAGUAUAGGAGAGGGUACUGGAAUUCCCGGUGUAGCGGUGAAAUGCGCAGAGAUCGGGAGGAACACCAAUGGCGAAAGCAGGUACCUGGACUAUUACUGACACUCAGCUGCGAAAGCUAGGGGAGCAAACAGG